GUUGGCAUAAAUGUGUGCAAUGUUCAUAGAGAAGUAAAUACAAGAUCCCAACGUGUAUGUGAACAGGCAAUGUGCUCUGUAUUGCACUUGCACUAGUAACACACAGUGCACUUAGUUAGUUGCUGUCUUCGAUUUAAUGCUGCUUAUAGAAUACUUAUGAUGAGUUCUCCUCUCUGUGUUCGUUAUUAUUAUUAUUGUUGUUAUUUUUGCUUUCAUUUUUGUUCAUCUUGCGUUGGUCGAAUCGUUUAUUGUUAUUGCUAUUAUUGUUGCUUUAUAACCAUAGUUGUAGCCACAGUUAGUUAAGCAUUCUCACAACAAACUGUUGUUCAGUUUGAAAUUGGAAUUUUAACAUGACAAGUGUAUAUAUACGCUUGCCGUCGUUGCUUAUUUAUACGCGCUUAACCACUAACAACAACCACAAAUUGUUAACUCGCAUAUAUGUUUCUGUGAGUUACUUAGAACAGUGGCUAUAAGAGAGGAUUUCGAAGAAAAUCUACUUUUGCACACAACUGUUGAAGAAAAAAA